rnacentral:rRNA from 1 species
UGAAGAAUUUAUCCAACGGCGGGGGAUAGCCGGCCCAACGGCCGGGUAAUACCGCGUACGACCCUCGGGGGGCAUCCCCUGAAGGUGAAAGCCGCAAGGCGCCGAUGGAGAACUUCGCGGCCUAUCAGCUAGUUGGUGAGGUCAUGGCUCACCAAGGCGACGACGGGUAGCUGGUCCGAGAGGAUGACCAGCCACAUUGGGACUGAGACACGGCCCAGACUCCUACGGGAGGCAG